rnacentral:ncRNA from 1 species
AGCUUGCCCGAAGGCAGAAGGAUGCGCCAAACCUUAAAACAAGAUGGCGCAAACGCCUGGUUCAGCAAUUAAUUGAGAGGUAAGUCGUCAAAGUAACAGGUAACUCGGAAUCACUUCUAUAUUUUAGCUAGUUCUGCUGGUUUUCCCUAGGUUGCCUUCACCGGUCGCGUAGGGUGGCUAGCGAGCUUACUUUGAAAUAAAUUAGAGUGCUUCACGCGGGCUUAUGUCUGAAUACUCGUGCAUGGAAUAAUAGAAUAGGAUCUCGGUUCUAUUUUGUUGGUUUUCUGAUCUGAGAUAAUGGUUAAGAGGGACGGACGGGGGCAUUCGUAUCGCUGCGUGAGAGGUGAAAUUCUUGGACCGUAGCGAGACGUCCGACUGCGAAAGCAUUUGCCAAGAAUGUCUUCAUUAAUCAAGAACGAAAGUCAGAGGUUCGAAGGCGAUCAGAUACCGCCCUAGUUCUGACCGUAAACGAUACCAACUAGCGUUCCGUCGGCGGUAAAUACGCCUUGACGGGCAGCUUCCCGGAAACGAAAGUCUUUCGGUUCCGGGGGAAGUAUGGUUGCAAAGCUGAAACUUAAAGAAAUUGACGGAAGGGCACCACCAGGAGUGGAGCCUGCGGCUUAAUUUGACUCAACACGGGAAAACUCACCUGGCCCGGACACCGUGAGGAUUGACAGAUUGAGAGCUCUUUCUUGAUUCGGUGGUUGGUGGUGCAUGGCCGUUCUUAGUUGGUGGAGUGAUUUGUCUGGUUUAUUCCGAUAACGAGCGAGACUCUAGCCUACUAAAUAGUCAUCGGAUAAACAAGUCCGGAAGACUUCUUAGAGGGACAAGCGGUGUUCAGCCGCAUGAAGUUGAGCAAUAACAGGUCUGUGAUGCCCUUAGAUGUCCAGGGCUGCACGCGCGCUACACUGGAGGAAUCAGCGUGCUGUAACCAUUGCCGAAAGGUAUUGGUAACCCGUUGAAAAUCCUCCGUGAUCGGGAUCGGGAAUUGCAAUUAUUUCCCUUGAACGAGGAAUUCCUAGUAAGUGUGAGUCAUCAGCUCACGUUGAUUACGUCCCUGCCCUUUGUACACACCGCCCGUCGCUGCCCGGGACUGAGCCGUUUCGAGAAAAGCGGGGACUGCUGUUUCGAGACCUUCCGAGGUGGAGAUUCUUUGGUGGAAACCGCCUUAAUCGCAAUGUCUUGAACCGGGAAAAGUCGUAACAAGGUUUCCGUAGGUGAACCUGCGGAAGGAUCAUUA